GUGAUUGUGAAUCGUUGCCUUCAGUGCUGGCUGGCUCCCUCCAGCAAGUGCACGUUGGUGACUUUCAUCCAAAUACCCAUGUGAACCUUUGGCCUCUUGCUGGCUUCGGCUGACAGAGGAUUUUACACCCCAACUCGAAUGUAAUGAAAUUAUUGUUGUGCGUAAGCACUAAUGUA
rnacentral:misc_RNA from 1 species